rnacentral:rRNA from 1 species
UACAGAGGGUGCAAGCGUUAAUCGGAAUUACUGGGCGUAAAGCGUGCGUAGACGGUUAUUAAGUCGGGUGUGAAAGCCCCGGGCUCAACCUGGGAAUUGCAUUCGAGACUGAAUAGCUAGGGUGCGGAAGAGGGAAGCGGAAUUCCGGUGUAGCGGUGAAAUGCGUAGAUAUCGGAAGGAACACCAGUGGCGAAAGCGGCUUCCUGGUCCAGCACCGACGUUCAGGCACGAAAGCGUGGGGAGCAAACAGG